rnacentral:misc_RNA from 1 species
CUUCCAUGGAGCAAUAUGAAGCUGAGGUGGGUAGGCAUAUAUUGCACGCUUGUAUGGAUUGGUGCUCAGAGCCAUUGGUUGUUCUGGGGUUAUCUGCUUGAAUUUAAGGGCAAAAAUGUUUUCCUACAGCUUUGGCUAGCAAGCUUACUGUUUCUGGCUGCUAAUACUUUUGUUGUUGUCAUGUUUAUCCGGCACCACAGAUGCUG